AUGUUCAAGCUGAUUUUAGAAAAGGCAGAGGAACCAGAGAUCAAAUUGCCAACAUCCGCUGGAUCGUCAAAAAAGCAAGAGAGUUCCAGAAAAACAUAUAUUUCUGCUUUAUUGACUAUGCCAAAGCCUUUGACUCUGUGGAUCACAAUAAACUGGAAAAUCUUGAAAGAGAUGGGAAUACCAGACCACCUGGCCUACCUCUUGAGAAACCUAUAUGCAGGUCAGGAAGCAACAGUUCGAACUGGACAUGGAACAACAGACUGGUUCCAAAUAGGAAAAGGAGUCCGUCAAGGCUGUAUACUGUUACCCUGCUUAUUUAACUUCUAUGCAGAGUACAUCAUGAGAAAGGCUGGGCUGGAAGAAGUACAAGCUGGAAUCAAGAUUGCCGGGAGAAAUAUCAGUAACCUCAUAUAUGCAGAUGACACCACCCUUAUGGCAGAAAGUGAAGAGGAACUAAAAAGCCUCUUGAUGAAAGUGAAAGAGGAGAGUGAAAAAGUUGGCUUCAAGCUCAACAUUCAGAAAAUGAAGAUCAUGGCAUCUGGUCCCUUCACUUCAUGGGAAAUAGAUAGGGAAACAGUGGAAGCAGUGUCAGACUUUAUUUUUGGGGGCUCCAAAAUCACUGCAGAUGUUGAUUGCAGCCAUGAAAUUAAAAGACGCUUACUCCUUGGAAGAAAAGUUAUGAGAAACCUAGAUAGCAUAUUGAAAAGCAGAGACAUUACUUUGCUGACUAAAGUCCAUCUAGUCAAGGCUAUAGUUUUUCCAGUGGUCAUGUAUGGAUGUGAGAGUUGGACUGUGAAGAAAGCUGAGCACCAAAGAAUUACUGCUUUUGAACUGUGGUAUUGGAGAAGACUCUUGAGAGUCCCUUGGACUGCAAGGAGAUCCAACCAGUCCAUUCUGAAGGAGAUCAGCCCUGGGAUUUCUUUGGAAGGAAUGAUGCUGAAGCUGAAACUCCAGUACUUUGGCCACCUCAUGCGAAGAGUUGACUCAUUGGAAAAGACUGUGAUGCUGGGAGGGAUUGGGAGCAGGAGAAGAACGGGACGACAGAGGAUGAGAUGGCUGGAUGGCAUCACUGACUCAAUAGACGUGAGUCUGAGUGAACUCCAGGAGAUGGUGAUGGACAGGGAGGCCUGGCAUGCUGCAAUUCAUGGAGUCGCAAAGAGUUGGACAUGA
rnacentral:lncRNA from 1 species